rnacentral:lncRNA from 1 species
UAUACUCUGAUGUCUUGACUGAUGCCAUGACAUGCUUGAGUAGUAUGCUGCAGGAUUAGCUAAUACAGGAUUUACUGAAUGUCAAACUGGAUGUUAUGACAUUCAUCCCUGACAGCAGAUACUGAACUAUAGGCUAGUUGGUUUUUCUGUUAUAGUUCGGUAUUUAUUUCAGGCUGUUUUUCAGGAGAAUAACAGACCUAGUAUAUAGCCUAUUGUCUAGAUGUCAAACUGAAUGUUAUGACAUACAUUCCUGACAGCAUAUGCUAAAGUGUAGGCUAGUUAGU